AUUGAACGCUGGCGGUAUGCUUAACACAUGCAAGUCGAACGGUAGCAGGCCUUCGGGCGCUGACGAGUGGCGGACGGGUGAGUAACGCGUAGGAAUCUGCCUCAUAGUGGGGGACAACGUGGGGAAACUCACGCUAAUACCGCAUACGCCCUACGGGGAAAGCGGGGGAGUCUUCGGACCUCGCGCUAUGAGAUGAGCCUGCGUUAGAUUAGCUAGUUGGUAGGGUAAAGGCCUACCAAGGCGACGAUCUAUAGCUGGUCUGAGAGGACGAUCAGCCACACUGGGACUGAGACACGGCCCAGACUCCUACGGGAGGCAGCAGUGGGGAAUAUUGGACAAUGGGCGCAAGCCUGAUCCAGCAAUACCGCGUGUGUGAAGAAAGGCCUUAGGGUUGUAAAGCACUUUCAAUUGGGAGGAAAACCUGUCGGUCAAUACCCGGCAGCUUGACAUUACCUUUAGAAGAAGCACCGGCUAACUCCGUGCCAGCAGCCGCGGUAAU
rnacentral:rRNA from 1 species